rnacentral:tRNA from 1 species
GUAAAUAUAGUUUAAUCAAAACAUUAGAUUGUGAGUCUAAAAACAGGAAAUUAUAACUCCUUAUUUACC